rnacentral:tRNA from 1 species
UGGGGCAUAGCUCAGUGGUAGAGCAUUCGACUGCAGAUCGAAUUGUCCCCAGUUCAAACCUGGGUGCUCCCAA